ensembl:lncRNA
GGUAAAGCGAGUGCAAUACCGCCCCCGCUGCUCCGAUUCUCCGGCCAAACUCACACUCCAUCUUCCCCUCACUCGUGAACAAGACCCCGAGGUACUUGAACUCCUUCACUUGGGGUAAGGACACAUUCCCUACCUGGAGUAGGCAAUCCAUCGGUUUCCUGCUGAGAACCAUGGCCUCAGAUUUAGAGGUGCUAAUCCUCAUCCCGACCGCUUCACACUCGACUGCGAAACGCUCCAGUGAGAGUUGGAGGUCACAGACGGAAGAUGCCAUCAGGACCACAUCAUCUGCAAAAAGCAGCGAUGAGAUCCGCAGCCCCCCGAACUGUAGACCCUCCUCCCCCCGACUACGCCUCGAUAUCCUGUCCAUCCUGUCCAGACCACAAACAAGAUUGGUGACAAGGCGCAGCCCUGGCGAAGGCCAACCCCCACCGGAAACGCCUUCGACUUACUGCCGAGCACCCGAACACAGCUCUCGCUUUGGGCGUACAAGGAUUGGAUGGCCCCAAGCAAGGACCCCCUCACCCUGUACUCCCGCAGCACCUCCCACAGUAUCUCUCGGGGGACCCGGUCAUACGCCUUCUCCAAGUCCCCCCCCCGUCUCUGUCAAAUAAUCCCAAUCCAUGCCCAUCCUUCCAAUCCGUGCAGCACUUCGCCUCCACCCCGCCUCCCUCUUGCUGUCCCUCCAUCUCCCUCUAUCCCGUUUGCGUCUUUCUCUGUGCGUGUGGUUGUGUAUUAGUCUUGGUAUAGCAAUUGGAUCACCGUCCACUCACCCGUCCACACAUGUGUGUGCGCGCAGACGGAGGUGUGCAUGUGUUUGGCUGGGCCGCUGUGUUUGGGUCAAGGUCCUCUGUGCGCUCGCUCCUUUGACUCACUUCUCCAUCCAUAAAACUGCCACGAGCUCUGAAAUUCCAGAUGACAGCCAGCAAACGCUCAUUUUUUAAUUAGCAUUUUUUGAACACAUGUGCUGAUUAUUUCACAAAUAACACCGCCUCUCUUAAAUACUCUAAUACUUACUUCAUAGUUCUGGUGUUUUUCCAGUUCCCGUCACCCUCUCGUGUCCCUUGUGUUAGACAUGAGUCAGCAUAUAGCACAUGGAAGUGACGUGGUGAACAUGGUGCACAUUAUAACUGUUAAACAUCAGUAUGUUAAGCAGUGCCAUUGUGAGCAUGUUAGCAUGCUGAUUAUAAGCAUUUAGAUCAAGAGGUACUGUGCAGCUCACAAAUUCACUUGGCUGAAGACUCUGGUUUCUUGAUUAAAUCCGUUUAUAUUCUCAUGGCUUCUUUUGCUCAUUGGAAUUAGUUAAUUAUAAAAGGCCAUGUGUUGCUGCUGCUGUAAACUGCAGGCCUUAUAUACAAGUGUGCAACACACGGUAUUUAGUGGUUUGAAAAUGAUAAGGCACUUUUCGUCUUCCUUCCUUUUUAAAAUUCUGAGCCUGUAACAUAGAACAUUCAAAGACAUCAAGUACUGAGUACUUGUGUCUCCCCACAGAGCAAAUCUCUUCCUCGACUAUUCUUUUCUUUUGUUCUCCUGGUCUCCGCCAUGUCAACUGCUUUCACAAUCCCCCUGCCCGAGCCAUACUGGGCGAAGGGCCAGAGUUGAGCUUGGGAGCCGGUCUUUCUUCUACUUUUCACAACUCCAUCACAUUGAAGUGGUAGUCUUCACUACUUGCAUGUGGUCCUUAACGUAUUCAAGGCAGGCAAGAUCAUAUACAUUCAACGGUGUGUCAAAGGUUACCUGUGGCAGAAGAGUGACGUAGUAAUAAAAGCUUGCUGAUCCAAAUCAGUUUUGGGCAGAUAAGAGAAUCCCAAGUUUGAUUUUAAAUCCCUGUGUGACAGCUCAACCAAAAUCAACACCUACUGUUGACUCAUUUCUCUUAAUAUCCUCACUUUGUAAAACAGGGCUGGUCUCUCUCUUAUAACACACACUUGCAAAUAGAACAUCAGCUCCAUUUACCAAGAAGGGCCAGCAGAGGUUGUUCCCCCUGAGGCAGCUGAAGAAAUUCAAUUUGCCAAAGAUGAGGAUGGUCCACUUCUACACCUCCAUCAUAGUCCAUCCUCUGCUCCUCCAUCACCGUCUGGUACGCUGCAGCCACAGCCAAGGACAAGGGCAGGCUGCAGCGUGUCAUCCGCUCUGCAGAGAGGGCGAUCGGCUGCAAUCUGCCGUCCCUGCAGGACUUGUUUGCUUCCAGGACCCUAUUUGUGCCCCUUCCAUCUGGCAGGAGGCUGAGGUCCAUCAGGACUAAGACCUCCUGCCACACCAGUUUCUUCAAUUUCCUCCUAUGAAAUGUUUCUGACUUUGAUUCUGAAAAGUACUGUACUGUACUGUGCGCUGGACAGCGUGUGUGUUCCUACAAUGAAAGGAUCAUUAUUUAUUUUUUCAUCAAUUGUUUACAGCUAAGUGGUCCAUGAUGGAUGAAGUGUGCAGUGUUUUAUUUGUUCCCGAGUCAAGGUUGUAACACUGUUAGUGUAAUUGAGUCAUUUGUGCUCUGGCUGUGUGCGCCACAUCCAGGAACCAGCUAUUGUGUUUGUCUGUGUCCGUGUGUGUUUAGGUGAUACGAAUCAUAUGUGUGCGUGUCUAAGUCUGCAUCUAUAUCUAAACGUACAAGGAAGCACGUGUGUGUGUGUGUGUGUGUGUGUGUGUGUGUGUGUGUGUGUGUGUGUGUGUGCAUUUCUCAUCCCCCAGAUGUGCCAAGCAGGUGGCCACAUUGGUCUCUAGCAGGGGAGGCCACUCGCCGCAGAACGCGUACCAAUCCUCACGUGACGCCGCUCCUCUGACGACAGAAAGAGCACACACACAAAAAAGCGGCCUUUGUGUAUUCAAUCCAGUUUCGCCCUGUUUACCAUGAUGCCUCACCUCGGCUCUCCCACAGGUUCCCAGCAGUUUCCCGGGGAUGAAAGCGAGUGAAACCCCAGACUAGUGGGGCUCCACAGCCAAUUAGGAUUGUUUAUUUAGCCAGCCACGGCCGCCCAGCAGAACAGGAGCACACAGCCAACCACACAGCCAUGCGUUUGAAAUCUCUCACUCUCUCCUUCUCUCUCACUCUUUUUUUUCCACUCCUUUAAACUCCUCUGGCUCCAUCUCCCCUCUUGCCUCUCUCCAGCCUUUGCCUCAUUUCUCCAAGUUUUAUCACCCUCCAGUUAGAUGCAACCUCUCCAGGAUUCUCCAGAGGUCCCACGCCGAUAAUAGGUAUCAAUAACUCUGAGGUGAUUUGGUUUGUUUACUCGGCUGCUUCUUUUUUAUUUGCUGCUGCAUAAUCCGGUCCUCACAUACUUAAAACACACACGUACAUGUGCACACAGACUGGAUAAGUUAUUUUCUCUCUAACUCUCUGAUAUCCAUCCUCUGGUAACAUAAUAGUCUAGUUGUGGUCUGGCCUGUCAUACAUUGUUGAAUUUCCAAGUAGUCCAGCAGCUGCAUUUAUCCAAUCUGCCAUUGUUGGGCUCAGAUCAUGACAGUGCUGUGUUGUUUUUGGUGUUUUACUGGUUUGUGACCAGCAUAAAUCUGCAACCUUUUGUCUGAUGUUGUCAUGAUCCCACAAAACCCUCAUGUUCCCACACACACACACGCACACACACACACACACACACACACACACACACACACACACACAUAUAUAUAUAUACACACACACAUCACUUCGGCUAAUUAACUUCAUGUGAAGCAGUUAAUUAGCUGAACUAAUAUAAUGGUUUUAUCCACAAAGCAUGCAUUGAGUGCAGCUAGAAAUACCUGGACAUGGACAUGCCCGACAAUCUAGUACCAGAUAAUCAACCAACUCUGACAUUCUAAUAUUCUAUAAAGCUCGGUAAGAAUAGAAAAAGUCAAGACUAUUCCAUUCAGUCGUAUCUUUGCAUCCAUGUCAUCGUCUCAGCCACACCUUUAUGCUCCUGUCCAUUCAUGCAGUUAAACUAACGGCGAGAAAACAUACAAACUGACGACACGGAAGGCCCGGGCAGCGGGCGACAGUGCUGACCACUGCAUCCCUGCGCCACCCACCAUGCAAAUGACCUAAUCAAAUUAACCCAACCGUAUCACGAGUCCUGUCCUCAACCUCCAGACCUCAAUGGUCCAACAUCAAUGAUUAUCUCCUCCCACCACGAGGUUCCUCGACAUGCAAUCACUCAAAUAUAUAAUUUAUACAAGUGUGCUGACUAGCUGCACAGCUGAUGAGAAUGGGGAAACAGUCAAUAGGCUAUUUACGAGUGUGCCUCUGGCCGACCACUGCAAAAAAAAAAAAAGUACUUUGUCUUCGAAACUGGCGAGGCAGGCAGAUGAGCUGGUCGAGGCGGCGGAGCAGGACACUGGGCUUACAUACUGGAGGCGAGUAGAGGCAAUCAAGAAGAUCAUCAGCAGGUGGCAGGAAUUGCUUGAUGAUCUCAACUAGACCAGCUGACAACCAGGAGGGGGAGGGGAAAACACUCAAAAGACAGACAGACCCAACAGUUGCAUGUAAAGUGAUGUGAGUGCAUUAAUAUCAGAAUCAGAAUCAGAAACAUGUGUAUCAGAAACAAGUAUGUUGGACAUAUGAGGAAUUUGUCAUGGUCUGUGAAAGAAUCUUUGCUGUAAACAGCUGCCUGCUGCACCCGGAAAUCAAAACAGUGAGGUGAACUGCUAUGAUUUUCACAUGUUGAUAUUAGCCGCUAUGAGCAGAUGAAGAACACAUGUAUUCUGUGCAAUUUUCAAGCAUUACCGCAACAUUAACAAAGUCUUCACAUUAGCAAGUGACAGCAGUAUCUAAACAUUUUUGGUUUAGUAAAAAAAAUACUAAAUGCUAUAAAUAAACGCUUACCGGACAUAAGUAUGGCAUGUAGCUUUGGCAAGUUGCCAUUGUUUUGUUGGGGAAGAAUUUCCUGGUCUAAAUAUAGUGUGCGGAGAAGCGAAUCAUCUUUUUGGCUCAUAAACACAAGAUAGUGGAAACUUCCGGUGAGAGCUAUAAGUCAGGAACGCUUCCCACAAAUCCAGGUCUUAUUUGUGUGUGUGAGCUCAUGUUUUCUUACCUAAAAAAAGCUGUGACGUAACUCACUGUUUAUCGUCGACCUACUUACAGGGUUGAACAUGAACGGCCCAACAGAUAAAACUGUAUCUUCUUCACUGCACUUCCUCCUGCGUCUUGGGCUGCCGCCGCCAUCAAUAUUUCACAAUGUACACUGUAAAAACAUCACGUUGGCUCACAACAAGCACUCGUGUGUUUUGGACCUUUCACCUGUGACAUAGUUGGGCUCAUAUGGGAUGUCCAUAAUAAUAAUAUAUUAAUUAUAAAACUAAUUCCCCAUAGUUCCAGCAAAAGACAUAAAAUGAAUUACACACACUUAAUAAACAGUAAUACACACUCAUGGGAUCAAAUCAAUUGAGACAAUAAAUAAAAUAUAUACUGAUAAUAAAACAAGGAAACUGGGACCAUUCAAUGGGGAUUUAUAGGACAUGUGCUGUAAAGAAGGAGGAAAAUAAGUAAGGAAGACAAGUAGGUUGUUUGACGAGGAUUCACUCUGACGCCUGCCACAUUGGAUUGUUACCUCUUUGUGAAUAAGGAAAUAAUUGUGUGUUAAGGAAAGAAUGUGUUUUGAGGCAAAGGAGAAAGAGCUGUUUUAACAGGUUAAAGGUUUGGGGUAAAGCAACAUGAUUUAGAAUGAUAGAGGAAGAUUGCUGUAAUCAACCAGACGAGGAAGCCAUCUUAGCACGAGUAGACGCUUACAAACAACAAACAUUUUCCCACGUGGUCAAAUACCAUUUAGCCGGUUCAUUAUUCAGAUCCAGCGCUCACUGAGCCAACGUAAUGGCCGUAUAUUCCCUAGAAUAUGGCUGAGCAGGAUCAAUGUUCUGGCACAGCAUUUUUUCUGAAUGCCUCACAUUCAUUUUUUAACGCUAGAAAUCCUGAAAACUAUUCGGGUGCGUCGACUUGACCACAACAACGGAGCAGCAGGCCGAAAGUCGGAUGAGCCAGGAGAGGCAGUGGGGAUGAAAAAGGCUCUGAGGUUGCAGUGUAAUAAAGCCCGACGCCUGAGGGAGAGAACAAUCCUGGUGUCUUCAUCGCAUGAGCCGUUACGUAAGCAGCUGUUGGUACACAGACCGUGAUAAAACAUUGAUUCCGGUUUACCACAUUUGGUGAUUACCCUGACAAAUACAGGAAACGUGCUCCUUGCCUUUGCAUAUUCAGUAUUAGAAACACACUUGUGCCAAAAGUCAAGUUUGCAGUGAAAUUAUUAGUCGAUCUUCGUACAGAAUAUCUCAUGUGUUUGACACGGCAGGCGAAUCGAAAUGAUCAUGUCUGACAUUAGAUAUCUGAUCUCUCUUUAUCUUUAUUGUGGGUGUUUACUUGAUAUUGCACUUUGCGCGGGCCGCCGAGUGACUCGCACUAAUUAAAUUGUGAUCUCCCAGCAGGCUUUUAUUGAGUGGCCAUAUGGACUUAGUAGUUAAAAAAAAAAAAUCAUUGAGCUGGAAUGCGGAGCAGCUAGAAACUUUCAGGAUGCUUUAAAGAGUUACAACAAAAGAAGCUUGAACUCAACUCCCUCUGAAUGUGGGUGAAAAAGUCAUCACUGGCAUGAACAUUAGGCAGGAUCACGUUGCUUAUCGGACACAGAGCCUCCCCAAUAUAGACACAACAUACACCUGCACUGACAAGGCUUUAAAUGCAACACAUAUUCACUGUUAGUUUCCAAAUAACAGCUCUAGUAUCAGGCUUCACUUUCCAUCAGGCUUUAUUUAAUUAAAUGCUGGUUGGUUUAUUAUUUCUAAUAUGAUAAUAUGCUAUUUACAGAAAAAGCCAGUAUGCCUGUUAAAAGUAGAAAUUUUAUAUUCAUUGUAUUUGGAUAUUUGCUAACCAGAAUACAUUUAACUGAUGACUGACUGGAACAUGCAGUUGCAUUAUUAAGUCAAUCUACAGUUAAACAUUAACAAAACAUUUUCCCCUUGAGGAAUUACUUGCAUGUGGUUUGAAGUGAAAAAGAUAAAACAUACUAUGAUAAUCUUUUUAUAAGAGCUUUUAUAUGCUGCUUCUUGUACAUUUCUAUGUGAUUCAGGCCCAACCCCCCCUUCCCACAUGCAGGGGGGGGCGUGGUGUCGGACUGCAAUCGAUUCAAGGACAUGUCCUCAACCAUGUCUACAAUGGCGAUGACUACAGCCCACUGCAGUAUGCUGCCUUAUGAACGGGAACAGCAGGGCACCUACAUACACAUCUGCUGCAUGUACAUAUACACAGCACAUGCAAUAUAUAUAUAUAUCUGUCAACAUCUGGUUAAAAAUUUAGUUUCCAUCACAAAUGCCUUUAUUAACCAUUGUUUUACCAAAAUAUAAGAGUACAAAUACAUGUAUUUUAGACAUGCAAACAUGGUUCACUUCGAAAGAGAAAACAAAAGACAGCACGUAUUAUAGAUGAACAGACAAAUGACUUCAGAUGUUACAGACGGUUGCAUAGGAUUUACAAAACCAAAAGACUUAACAGUCAAUUCAGUACCAAAGAAUGGUUGAGACUAAUUUAGGCUUCCCAAAUUGACAGAAAAAAGCAGUAAAACAUUACACAUAAUGGAAACCAUCUUUCAUACAUAUAUAU